GAUGUGGCGGAAUGGUAGACGCUUAGGACUUAAAAUCCUAUGAUAGCAAUAUCGUGCGGGUUCAAGUCCCGCUAUCAGC
rnacentral:tRNA from 1 species